AUUGAACGCUGGCGGCAGGCCUAACACAUGCAAGUCGAGCGGUAGAGAGAAGCUUGCUUCUCUUGAGAGCGGCGGACGGGUGAGUAAUGCCUAGGAAUCUGCUUGGUAGUGGGGGAUAACGUUCGGAAACGGACGCUAAUACCGCAUACGUCCUACGGGAGAAAGCAGGGGACCUUCGGGCCUUGCGCUAUCAGAUGAGCCUAGGUCGGAUUAGCUAGUUGGUAAGGUAAUGGCUCACCAAGGCGACGAUCCGUAACUGGUCUGAGAGGAUGAUCAGUCACACUGGAACUGAGACACGGUCCAGACUCCUACGGGAGGCAGCAGUGGGGAAUAUUGGACAAUGGGCGAAAGCCUGAUCCAGCCAUGCCGCGUGUGUGAAGAAGGUCUUCGGAUUGUAAAGCACUUUAAGUUGGGAGGAAGGGUUGUAGAUUAAUACUCUGCAAUUUUGACGUUACCGACAGAAUAAGCACCGGCUAACUCUGUGCCAGCCGCCGCGGUAA
rnacentral:rRNA from 1 species